AUAUAUAGAUUGCCAAAUUGUAAAUGAAAGGCAGGCUGCCAAACAAAAACAUAAGUUAAUAAAAACCCUUUCAAAAACCUCUCUCAACAAAAGAUAUAAACUAAGUUAAAAAUGGAGAAAUUCGAAAUCAAGUCAGAUAUAUUAGAUAGCAUGGAAAAUCAAGAGAGAAAGAUGCACAGAUUGAACCAGCAGAGCUAAUGAGUUCUAUAGAAAACAAUUAUGACUCCCUCUCAACAAAAAGUUCUCCUGAGAUGAAGCAUUGACGAAGUUAAAUGGAUAGAUUGGUUUCUGCAGAAAAAAAGAGAGGCACAAUUACUACAACGUCGAACAAACCGUCAGGAGCUAAAAAGAAAUGCUAUAUAUGCAACAACAGCUUUUCAUGUGCAAGAUCAUCCUGCUGCAAUUAUAGAUUGCUGUUGCUCCACCUCGCAGAAUCCUCAUCAAAUUUAUAUUUGGGUCAGAUUUAGUUGCACAUUUUUUUGUCGCAAAAGUUUAGAAAGAAUUGUUAUUCAAUUAACUGAUGUAGUACAUAGGACAAUAAAAUGAAUCUUUUCAUUGUGUGUACGUUUUAGUAUUUAUUGUCAGCCAGAGAUAGCAUUCAGUAAUUAUGCACUUUGCUCUACACUUUUUGACCUGUGCGGCACUUAACAACGUUUAGCUUGAA